ACACUCCUACGGGAGGCAGCAGUGGGGAAUUUUGGACAAUGGGCGAAAGCCUGAUCCAGCAAUGCCGCGUGAGUGAAGAAGGCCUUCGGGUUGUAAAGCUCUUUUGUCAGGGAAGAAACGGUGAAAGCUAAUAUCUUUUGCUAAUGACGGUACCUGAAGAAUAAGCACCGGCUAACUACGUGCCAGCAGCCGCGGUAAUACGUAGGGUGCAAGCGUUAAUCGGAAUUACUGGGCGUAAAGCGUGCGCAGGCGGUUUUGUAAGUCUGAUGUGAAAUCCCCGGGCUCAACCUGGGAAUUGCAUUGGAGACUGCAAGGCUAGAAUCUGGCAGAGGGGGGUAGAAUUCCACGUGUAGCAGUGAAAUGCGUAGAUAUGUGGAGGAACACCGAUGGCGAAGGCAGCCCCCUGGGUCGAGAUUGACGCUCAUGCACGAAAGCGUGGGGAGCAAACAGGAUUAGAAACCCGUGUAGUCC
rnacentral:rRNA from 1 species